GAAAGAGAGAGAGAGAGAGAGAGUCAUCACAUCUCCGUCAGCUAAAAACCAAGGAAUCAUAUUCUUUAUGGUUCCUUUCUUGAUUAAUAUAUUAGAUAUUCCUGGGGACUGAGCAUUGGUUUUUCUGUGAGAUUUCUAGAGAAUUCAAGCUCAAGGGUCUGUUGGGUUUCAUCAGAAAACAUGAAGUUCUGCAAGAAAUACCAGGAGUACAUGCAAGGCCAACAGAAAGAACUCCCUGGGGUUGGAUUAAAGAAGCUUAAAAAGAUUUUGAAGAAAUGUAGGAGAGACUUUGAAUCCCAUCAAGAACUUGAUGGGGCUCCUCCUGCUGCCGAUCACUGUCCUCAUCAAUGUCCAGUGUGCGAUGGAACCUUCUUCUCUUCCCUUCUCAAAGAAAUGUCUGCAGUAGUUGGUUGCUUUAGUGAACGAGCACAGAAAUUGCUUGAGCUGCACCUGGCUUCUGGCUUUCAAAAAUACUUUAUUUGGUUCAAAGGCAAGUUGCAAGGAAAUCAUGUUGCCUUGAUGCAAGAAGGCAAGGAUCUGGUUACGUAUGCACUUAUAAAUGCCAUAGCAGUCCGAAAAAUCCUAAAGAAAUAUGAUAAGAUUCAUUACUCCAACCAAGGACAGGCCUUCAGGUCACAAGCCCAAAGUAUGCACAUUGAGAUUCUUCAGUCUCCAUGGCUCUGUGAGCUUAUGGCUCUCCACAUCAAUUUAAGGAAAACAAAGAUCAAUUCAAAGAAUAAGGUCCCUGCCUUGUUUGAGGGGUGCUCACUAACAUUUGAUGAUGAUGACAAACCAUCACUUUCUUGUGAGCUCUUUGAUUCCAUCAAGCUUGAUAUUGAUUUGACUUGUUCAAUAUGCUUGGUAAGCUCCUAGAUUUCAUUUUGCUAAGAUUUGUAUUCUUUACAUACAUGCACUUAUUAAUUGUAUAAAAUUUAUGUGCUGCCCACAUUCCAUUGAAGCACAUGAAAGAAAUGUUAUAAAGGUCUGUUACAAUGAUGUCCAUGGUGAAAACUGGAGGAAUUUGUUGAGUUUUGUGUUGAUAAUUCCUUUAUGAAAAAUCAUGGGCUACAUACAGUAUUUUUUCUGGUGAGUAUCUCCCUGCUCCAUUUAGAUUGAUCUUUCUUUUAAGAUGACUUCUCAGUCCCUAGUGAAUAAGAACAAUAUCCAAUUUGCAGCCAGACAUACCAGAUCCAGCAUCAGCUUUCUUCUUUUGGUAGAGUAGAAGAAUAAUUUCAGGAUUAGAAGGCAUACAUUCUGGCUUUGUUAUUAUGGUGCUCUCAUAGGUCCCAUUAGUGAUUAAUUCAUGUAAAUUUCUUUUGAUGACAGGAGACAGUAUUUGAUCCAGUUUCUCUUGCAUGUGGCCAUAUAUUCUGCUAUAUGUGUGCUUGCUCUGCUGCUUCAGUGACUAUUGUUGAUGGCCUAAAAGCUGCAGAACCUAAAGAAAAAUGCCCUUUAUGCCGGGAGGUUUGCUCGCAUUUUAUUUGUAUUUUUGCUCUUAAAAAAUAUACUAUGAAUUACUAAAUCUCUGGCAAACAAGGUUGCCAUCUUGUGUCUUGAGAGAGCUAGAUUAUCCUUGUGAAAUUACGAUUAAGAUGUAGAAAAUAGAUAGUGAUGCUAGAAGACAGGGUCUGGAUUCUGAACUUAAUUUGAGUCUAAGCAUUUCGUCAAUCCAUUUUACAUGGAUUCCCUGAAAUUUGAACGAUUUAUUCUCUAACUUUUUAAAAUUGAAAGGUGAUUUCAUUCCAAGAAGGAAAGGAAGAAUAUCAUGAAUAUCCAACCCUUUCUUCACUUGUAAUAAUUCAUUUCCAUUGUGAUCACAGACUGGAGUUUAUGAAGGUGCUGUACACUUGGAAGAGCUUAAUAUUUUAUUGAGACAAAGGUAUGUACUUUAAAAAAAAAAAAAAGAAUUAAAUUCUAGGGAGCAUGAUGUAGCUAAGUCACUUAAAUUUUCGUGGAGGAAGGACGCUUCUAUUACUAGUGUGAUUCUUCUCAUAUGCAUGUUUGAACAGUUGCCGCGAAUAUUGGGAGCAGCGGCUGCAAUCAGAAAGGGUGGAGAGGAUUCGUCAGGCAAAGCAGCACUGGGAAUACCAGUGUCGGGUAUUCAUGGGUGUCUAGAGUAGAUAGUUGGUCUUGGCACUAGAUUUACAUUUGAUAACUUAUUUCUUAUCUUCUCAUCAAUAAAAUUAAUUGGACUCUUCUCUCUGAAUUAGUGUGAAUAUGUGCUCUUUUGCACGUUGCUUGACUUGGCCAAACUUUUGUAUAAAUGUUUUCUCGCUUGGAGAAAUGGAAUGUGUUGUUCUGCUGUAAAUAACCAGAUGUUGGUUGCAUUGUUCUCUGCCUUCGCCUGUGUAUCUACGGC
rnacentral:misc_RNA from 1 species